AUUUUAAAUAUUUUAAUCCAUUAUUUCUUUAAAGACUUUGGAUUUCUUAAACCGCCAUAAAAUUUAUUAACCUCCUUGGACAAUAAAUUAACUGUUAGGUGUUGUAUAGAAAGGAUUUAAAAUAAACAUAUAGCAGCAAAACUAUUAUAAAUUUUUAAUACUAGUUAUAAUUAUUUAAAAAUAUUUAGUCUAGUUCCACGUCAUAUAAAUCCAAUAUUACCCAAUGUUAUAUUCAUAUAUGUUUACCUAUGUUUGAACUUUAAUACAACUUUCACCUAAGUUUUCAUUAUAAUUUAAUUUUACAAUUAAACUAAAUAUUAAAUUUUAUACG
rnacentral:rRNA from 1 species